CUACGGGGGGCACCAGUGAGGAAUUUUGCGCAAUGGGGGAAACCCUGACGCAGCAACGCCGCGUGAGCGAAGAAGGCCCUCGGGUCGUAAAGCUCUGUCAAGUGGGAAAAAAAUCUUUUGAUCAAUAGCCAAAAGACUUGAUGGUACCACUGGAGGAAGCACCGGCUAACUCCGUGCCAGCAGCCGCGGUAAUACGGAGGGUGCAAGCGUUGUUCGGAUUUACUGGGCGUAAAGAGCGUGUAGGCGGUUUAGCAAGUCAGAUGUGAAAGCCCUGGGCUCAACCCGGGAAGUGCAUUUGAAACUGCUUCACUAGAGUAUGGGAGAGGAGAUUGGAAUUCCUGGUGUAGAGGUGAAAUUCGUAGAUAUCAGGAGGAACACCCGUGGCGAAGGCGAUUCUCUGGACCAAUACUGACGCUGAGACGCGAAAGCGUGGGGAGCAAACAGGAUUAGAUACCCUGGUAGUC
rnacentral:rRNA from 1 species